CAGUAGCCACGGUAAUACGGAGGGUGCAAGCGUUAAUCGGAAUUACUGGGCGUAAAGCGCACGCAGGCGGUCUGUCAAGUCGGAUGUGAAAUCCCCGGGCUCAACCUGGGAACUGCAUUCGAAACUGGCAGGCUAGAGUCUUGUAGAGGGGGGUAGAAUUCCAGGUGUAGCGGUGAAAUGCGUAGAGAUCUGGAGGAAUACCGGUGGCGAAGGCGGCCCCCUGGACAAAGACUGACGCUCAGGUGCGAAAGCGUGGGGAGCAAACAGGAUUAGAUACCCCAGUAGUCCCUGUCUCUUAUAA
rnacentral:rRNA from 1 species